CGAAGGGCUAGCGUUGCUCGGAAUGACUGGGCGUAAAGGGCGCGUAGGCGGCAUUGACAGUCAGGCGUGAAAUUCCUGGGCUUAACCUGGGGGCUGCGUUUGAUACGUCAGAGCUAGAGGAUGGAAGAGGCUCGUGGAAUUCCCAGUGUAGAGGUGAAAUUCGUAGAUAUUGGGAAGAACACCGGUGGCGAAGGCGGCGAGCUGGUCCAUUACUGACGCUGAGGCGCGAAAGCGUGGGAGCAAACAGGAUU
rnacentral:rRNA from 1 species